GCAGUGCACACUCAGCUUAUACAGGCAUACAGUGUUUGAGUUUCCCUAGUGUUGUGGUCUCCGAAGUGGAUCCCAUCCUUCCAAGGUCAGAAUCCUUCACUGCAGUGAUUGGAAUCUCUUCACUGAACCUAGGGUCUUCUUGUUGCCGAGCAGUGCACCAUGUGGCAAGGAUGCUCUUGUUGCACAGGGAGGCCUAUUCCCUGCCAUCAGACCCCACUGGAAUGGACACUGUUCUUGAACUAGGCUGCACAGGUAAUGAUGGAAACUCUCUCACACAGCUGGUGUGACACCUCCUCAGGCUGCUACAUACCAUGCCUGGCCCAGGGGCUGCACCCAGAUGACUUCAGCAUAUCCCAUCAUAUCCUUUGUCCUCCUCCUUUGAGAAGUGGUCUUUCCUGUUUCAGAACUGCUGUUAAAGUCUGGCAGUUCCAGACUGGUAUUUUCCCCCUUCAUUUCAUUGUGGACUCCAGGCUCCUCCUAUAACCUCAGUCUCCUGGUGAGAUCAUGGUGCAUCCUCUCAGAGGCACGGCUCUUUCCAGGCAAGGGAAGAAGCUGGAUAGAACUUCUGGCUGAUGCAGGGGAAGGUGAAUGAACAUGACAGGAUGUCUGGAGCCACGGCCUGGGAGGACAUAAAGCACAGCAACAGGGAACCUUGGAGACAAGACCAGCAAACUUACAGAUGGGCUGCUUGUGGAGAAGAUGUACUUUGAGGAAAACGGAUGGAAGCAGAAAUUAUCAUCAUGUUAAGCCAAGAGGACCAGACUCAAAAAGAC
rnacentral:lncRNA from 1 species